AGGCCUGUAGCUUAAUUGGCAAAGCCGCUUUCUUGUCUAUUUAAGACAAUCCACUCCACAUGCAGGUUCAAAUCCUGCCGGGUCUA
rnacentral:tRNA from 1 species